AUCUCUGGUUCAUUGAGAGAAUAUACUGAGACAAGCAAACCUACUUCGUUGUUUCCACUAGGUUUGUGGAGGCCUGCGUGAGUAGGUAAUCGGAAAUAGAAAUAUCCUUUCACCUCGAGAUGACUUCUCUUCAUUGCCAGCAUAGGCUGGACAUGAAAGCCACCAUCUGACAGCUGUACAGUGAACUCAUGUGGCUUCAGUUCAGGCACACAUUGGCAGCCUUGGUACAAGCCAAGGAUUUUAUCUGCCUGGACAUUAUGGGGAAGUGGGAGCUGCUGCUGCAGAAAGGGAGACCUGAGUCUUACCUGCUGGUGGCAAAUAGCCUACUUUCCUGAAGAUGGAUGUGCAGGAAGUUUUACCUGUUCAGUUUUUGCCUUGGUCUAAGAUGAUACUGACGGUGAUGAUACUGAUGAUACAAGCUCAUAUUCAAUAUUGGCCUCUGGUGACCGGACAACUUGUCAUCCUUGCUUUGAAAAAGUGGCUAGUUGUUAUGGGGAACCAUUUUUUAUAAAUCGCUGAAAAUAACACAUCUGUACUGUAUUUGGGACUUAUUCCCACUUGCAAAUGGGAUUCUUCCUUCUACUGCGAUGCACAAGCUAAUCAAUUUCCCCAAAUAUACUAAAGGCCUCAAUAUAGAGAGCUGUGUAGCUGCAGUAACUGUAGGAAGAUCUUCAGUGUGGCACCACGUAAACCUACUGAAUAGCACUCUGGCUUGUCCUUAAGCUCAGAUGGGGGAAUGAUCUCACAGAGCAGGGUCUUAGCUCAGAGCAGAGCCAAACACGGCUUCCAUGCAGCAUUUACACCAAGUCCACUGUGGACUGAAAAGGCAGGCUGGUCCGGUCUCGCACUGGGAUGUAAGCUCCUUGGCACACCUUACCCUGAAAUGGGCAGGAGAUGCCAAACAACAUAUGGGCCUCGGUUUUACUGUGUAUGCUUUGAGGGUUUAAUUAGCUUGAAGUUUAAGUACAACCCUUCUUGACCUGCAGCCCACAAGAAAACUUAUGGAGACAGGAAUUGUGCAGCAUGUUUAUUUAAAACCACUGCUAAGGAAUUAAGUAACCAAAAACUAGUCUCCAUGCUAUGGAUGUAAACCCUACAAAUGGUUCCUCAGACACAGCAGCCAGAUCUGCACUACAGUGUUUGCUGCGUGGUCUCUUUUUUUUUUUAUCCACAAAAAAAAAUAGUAAAUGUGACACUUUAAAGGGUAGCGUUCUUGGAGUGGGACAUAAUCAUGGCUCAAAGCUUAGGGUCCUAUACCACAGGGAUUUCCUUUCCCUGACUUGCGUGGCUGGUUUAGAAAAGGAGCAGAAUGCAAGGGCCUUGGGUGAAGAGUUGCUAAAACAAGUCAGGAACUUGUGUUAGGAGACCCCGGCAUCUCUUGGCAAACAAUAGGGAUGGGGAGUCUGUUGGGUCACUGUUCCCCUGUGACAACUUUUCCUUCCCAUUUACCACCUGGAUCCUGGCUUUGAACUGGACAAGAACAGAAGCUAGGCCGGCAAGCUGAAAGUGCAUAAAAC